GUCGAGCGAGGAAGGUAGCUUGCUACUGGACCUGGCGGCGGACGGGUGAGUAAUGCUUAGGAAUCUGCCUAUUAGUGGGGGACAACAUUCCGAAAGGAAUGCUAAUACCGCAUACGUCCUACGGGAGAAAGCAGGGGACCUUCGGGCCUUGCGCUAAUAGAUGAGCUAAGUCGGAUUAGCUAGUUGGGGGGGUAAAGGCCUACCAAGGCGACGAUCUGUGGCGGGUCUGAGAGGAUGAUCCGCCACACUGGGACUGAGACACGGCCCAGACUCCUACGGGAGGCAGCAGUGGGGAAUAUUGGACAAUGGGGGGAACCCUGAUCCAGCCAUGCCGCGUGUGUGAAGAAGGCCUUAUGGUUGUAAAGCACUUUAAGCGAGGAGGAGGCUACUAGUAUUAAUACUACUGGAUAGUGGACGUUACUCGCAGAAUAAGCACCGGCUAACUCUGUGCCAGCAGCCGCGGUAAUACAGAGGGUGCGAGCGUUAAUCGGAUUUACUGGGCGUAAAGCGUGCGUAGGCGGCCAUUUAAGUCAAAUGUGAAAUCCCCGAGCUUAACUUGGGAAUUGCAUUCGAUACUGGAUGGCUAGAGUAUGGGAGAGGAUGGUAGAAUUCCAGGUGUAGCGGUGAAAUGCGUAGAGAUCUGGAGGAAUACCGAUGGCGAAGGCAGCCAUCUGGCCUAAUACUGACGCUGAGGUACGAAAGCAUGGGGAGCAAACAGGAUUAGAUACCCUGGUAGUCCAUGCCGUAAACGAUGUCUACUAGCCGUUGGGGCCUUUGAGGCUUUAGUGGCGCAGCUAACGCGAUAAGUAGACCGCCUGGGGAGUACGGGUCGCAAGACUAAAACUCAAAUGAAUUGACGGGGGCCCGCACAAGCGGUGGAGCAUGUGGUUUAAUUCGAUGCAAACGCGAAGAACCCUUACCUGGCCUUGACAUACUAGAAACUUU
rnacentral:rRNA from 1 species